rnacentral:rRNA from 1 species
UACGUAGGGUGCAAGCGUUGUCCGGAAUUAUUGGGCGUAAAGAGCUCGUAGGCGGUUUGUCGCGUCUGCUGUGAAAACUCGGGGCUUAACCCCGGGCCUGCAGUGGGUACGGGGCAGACUAGAGUUCGGUAGGGGAGACUGGAAUUCCUGGUGUAGCGGUGAAAUGCGCAGAUAUCAGGAGGAACACCGGUGGCGAAGGCGGGUCUCUGGGCCGAUACUGACGCUGAGGAGCGAAAGCGUGGGGAGCGAACAGG